UGUGAGUUUAACACUUCAUGACUGAGAUCUGUCCUUCAUGACAACUGAACCCACAACAACCAUGACAUUUGCAACCAUCUUUAUCUGGACACUUGCUUUCUGCUUCAAGGAAUCCAGAGGUCAGGUCACUGUGACUCAGACUCCUGUAGUUGAAGCUGUUCUCCCAGGACAGACAGUCUCUCUGAAAUGUAGAACCAGCAGUGAUGUUUAUCAGGCAGGGACCUCUUCCCCUCGUAUGGCCUGGUAUCAACAGAAACCUGGAGGAGCUCCUAAACUCUUAAUUUACUAUGCUAAGACACUUCAGUCUGGGACUCCAUCUAGAUUCAGUGGCAGUGGAGAUUAUAGUGACUUCACUCUGACCAUCAAUGGAGUCCAGGCUGAAGAUGCAGGAGAUUACUACUGUCAAAGUUUUCACUAUCCCAACAGUGUACAUGUGUCCCCUUUUGGUGGCGGCACCAGACUUGAUGUUGGAAGUAACACUGCUCCCACCCUGACCAUCCUGCCCCCCUCUAGUGAGGAGCUGUCCAGUACAACAACAGCCACACUGAUGUGUCUGGCCAACAAGGGCUUCCCCUCAGACUGGACCUUGAAUUGGAAAGUGGACGGGAACAACAAGAAUCAGAAGUCCAGUUCCGGGGUCCUGGAGAAGAAUGGUCUGUACAGCUGGAGCAGCACCCUGACUCUCACUGCCCAGGAGUGGAACAAGGUGGGAGAGGUGACCUGUGAAGCCCAGAAGAGCUCCCAGACACCAGUCAUCAAGACCCUGAGGAGGGAUGACUGUUCUGGUUAGGACCUGUCUGUCACAUAACCCUGUGAAGAGAGGUUGCUGGUUCUUUGGCUUUUACUCUGUUUUGAUAUCAGAUGUUUUGUCUUAUUGAUCACUUUUAUGUAGACUAACAGUGAGCUUUGCAUUGUGUCCAUCCUCUCUGUAGAUUGACAUUUGAUAGAUAUGAUAUGGUCUGCUUGUACUAUUAUAACACACAUUUGCUUUUAUGCGUUGAUGAAAAUAAAGAUUUCCCUAUUUAGGAAAUAUAAUUUGUUGUCUUUCAUUAAAUUCAAGUAUAUUUUAUUUGCAAAUAUUGUAUGAGAAUUAAAUAAUAAUAAAGCCAGAUGUGGUUUAUUUGAAAGGUUAAA